rnacentral:rRNA from 1 species
UGAACAAGGAUAUGCUUAGCUUGAUAAAUGGGGCCUCUGGCUUUGAAUUGUGUUUUUGAAAUGUAUUUCCAACAGAGGUGCAGGUGUUAGCAUAUUGGAAGAAAGCGUCAAUGAGGGUGAGAAUCCUUUUUGUCAUGUGCAGUCCUCUGUACACGGUGUAUGUUUGCUGAGUCACACUCCUUGGCAUUGGAAUGCAAAGUGGGUGGUAAGUUUCAUGUAAAGGUAAAUAUAUGAUUGAGACUGAUAGUGCACAAGUACCAUGAGGGAAAUAUGAAAAGGACUUUGAAAAGAGAAUUAAAUGAGUUUGUAUUUGCUGAACAGAAAGUAAACAGAUUUGAUUUUGCUGGGUGAGAUUGUGGUGCUUGCCUGACACUGCGGUGUGGUUCUAAGUACAAUGAUUCUUGCUUUGUGUGCCAGCUUUUUACACAUUUGAACAUGCAUGCGCAUGAAUGGUAGUAUUCCUGUGGGGGGUUGGAUUGCAUGCGUGUAUAAGCAUUUGUGUGUUUGAAGCAUGUGUUUGGUGAUGUUGGUGUGUGCACAUAUUGUUCUUCAGGAUGU